GGAAGGAUCAUUACCGAACCGUCGACAUGAGUUGUUGCUGGCCCUCAAACCGGGGGUAUGUGCACACUCUGUUUACACAUCCACUCACACCUGUGCACCCUGCGUAGUUCUAUGGCCCAGGGGGCUGUUGCCUCCUGCUGUGGUUCUAUGCCUUUAUAUAUACACACACACCGUGAUGAAGUUUUGUGGAAUGCAUAUGGCGUUUAACGCGAUAAAAUACAACUUUCAGCAACGGAUCUCUUGGCUCUCGCAUCGAUGAAGAACGCAGCGAAAUGCGAUAAGUAAUGUGAAUUGCAGAAUUCAGUGAAUCAUCGAAUCUUUGAACGCACCUUGCGCCCUUUGGCUAUUCCGAAGGGCAUGCCUGUUUGAGUAUCAUGAACACCUCAACUCUCAUGGCUUGCCGUGAUGAGCUUGGACUUUGGGGGUCUUGCUGGCCUAUGGUGGUCGGCUCCUCUCAAAUGGAUUGACUUGCCGGUUUUUGGUGGUGUCCCAGGUGUGAUAACUAUCUACGCUUGUGGCUUUCCACCAGGAUAACCUUCAGUGAUAUGGAGGUUUGCUGGAGGUCUUAGAUGUCUCUCUUUGGUGAGAGACGGCUCUUUGAACGUUUGAUCUCAAAUCAGGUAGGACUACCCGCUGAACUUAAGCAUAUCAAUAAGCGGAGGAAAAGAAACUAACAAGGAUUCCCCUAGUAACUGCGAGUGAAGCGGGAAGAGCUCAAAUUUAAAAUCUGGCGUGCCUCUGGUCGUCCGAGUUGUAGUCUGGAGAAGCGUUUUCCGUGUUGGACCGUGUAUAAGUCUCUUGGAACAGGGCGUCAUAGAGGGUGAGAAUCCCGUCUUUGACACGGACUACCAAUGCUUUGUGAUGCGCUCUCAAAGAGUCGAGUUGUUUGGGAAUGCAGCUCAAAAUGGGUGGUAAAUUCCAUCUAAAGCUAAAUAUAGGCG
rnacentral:rRNA from 1 species